UUUUUACCUCAUUCGUUCUAUUUAACGAGCUCUUAAAUAAGAUCAUGUAGGUGCCAUGUCGUUAUGAUGCGGGCGUAAAAAUAAUCUCAUCAUGGUGCAACACCCUGAGGAAGCGUGUGACUGCCAUACCCUCACGUGCGCCAACUUAACACUAUCUCAAACUGUUUCCAGCCAGACGUACAGUGGACUGUAUCUACGUCCUCUGUCACAGCUGAGACAUAAUCAGUUUUCAUUGUAGAUAGUAGUUUAUUAUUUAAGAGACCAUAUCCAUAUAUAUAUACCUACAUAUCUGAUACUGCCAGUUAUGCAUUAUUAAUCUUCAUAUGGCAGUAGUAUUUUGCAUUAUAUAUUUUA